GCCCUUCGGGGUACUCGAGUGGCGAACGGGUGAGUAACACGUGGGUGAUCUGCCCUGCACUCUGGGAUAAGCCUGGGAAACUGGGUCUAAUACCGGAUAGGACCACACACUUCAUGGUGAGUGGUGCAAAGCUUUUGCGGUGUGGGAUGAGCCCGCGGCCUAUCAGCUUGUUGGUGGGGUAAUGGCCCACCAAGGCGACGACGGGUAGCCGGCCUGAGAGGGUGACCGGCCACACUGGGACUGAGAUACGGCCCAGACUCCUACGGGAGGCAGCAGUGGGGAAUAUUGCACAAUGGGCGCAAGCCUGAUGCAGCGACGCCGCGUGAGGGAUGACGGCCUUCGGGUUGUAAACCUCUUUCAGUAGGGACGAAGCGAAAGUGACGGUACCUACAGAAGAAGGACCGGCCAACUACGUGCCAGCAGCCGCGGUAAUACGUAGGGUCCGAGCGUUGUCCGGAAUUACUGGGCGUAAAGAGCUCGUAGGUGGUUUGUCGCGUUGUUCGUGAAAACUCACAGCUUAACUGUGGGCGUGCGGGCGAUACGGGCAGACUAGAGUACUGCAGGGGAGACUGGAAUUCCUGGUGUAGCGGUGGAAUGCGCAGAUAUCAGGAGGAACACCGGUGGCGAAGGCGGGUCUCUGGGCAGUAACUGACGCUGAGGAGCGAAAGCGUGGGUAGCGAACAGGAUUAGAUACCCUGGU
rnacentral:rRNA from 1 species